CUUCCCCCUUCUCUAUCUUUACUCUCUGCACCGUCUCAAGACAGCUCCUCUGCCUCAACACAUUCACACACUUAUGGUACAAACUUCUGCUAACUUCUCCACACAGAGACUGUGUGCCUUGCGAGACCCUACCAGGGGCAUUUAAGCCGUGGACAACUUAGCUUCUGGGAUCAACCCGACCACCAUUGGUGAUUUAAGGAUCAGACCAAUGCCAUCUGACAGAUUGGCUGAGUGCAGUGCUCGAGCAAGUCUGAAAACGUCCAAUCCAGAGAGCACUUGGCUCCCUUCUGUCUUCGGCUGAUAAGUGGUGUCAUGGUAUGCUGCCGGAUAAAGCACCACUGUUAUGGAAUUAGGUGUCAAAUGGAAAAACUGAGCAAGCAGAGAUUAAAUAAAGACAUAAUUUACUAAAUUUAAUCGAAGGAGAUCGUUGGACUGUGUGGACCAACAGAGCUGUCUUUCAUCUUUGAUUCUGAGAUGCAGCCACAGAAACGGAGCCAGCUGGAACAUGCCGGGGAUGACACAAGUACCCUGGAUGAUACAUAUGGUCUGCUGAUAGCCUGCAGAUCACCUUACUGCCCAGCAGACAUGCGGCAACUACAGGCCGCAGAGGAGGGUGGCAUUACCCUCCUUGGAUACUUUAAAGACCAACAGCUUAAGGUGAUUCUACAAAGUGGCUCCUAAUGUUAAAAUAAAUUAGCUGUUGCUCCCAUGAA